rnacentral:rRNA from 1 species
GUAAAAGUCGUAACAAGGUUUCCGUAGGUGAACCUGCGGAAGGAUCAUUAUUGAAAUAAACCUGAUGGGUUGCUGCUGGCUCUCUAGGGAGCAUGUGCACGCCUUGUCAUCUUUAUAUCUCCACCUGUGCACUUUUUGUAGGCCUUUCCAGGUCUAUGUCGCUUCAUUAUACCCCAAUUGUAUGUCAAUAGAAUGUUGUGCCUAUAAUAAUAUAUACAACUUUCAGCAACGGAUCUCUUGGCUCUCGCAUCGAUGAAGAACGCAGCGAAAUGCGAUAAGUAAUGUGAAUUGCAGAAUUCAGUGAAUCAUCGAAUCUUUGAACGCACCUUGCGCUCCUUGGUAUUCCGAGGAGCAUGCCUGUUUGAGUGUCAUUAAUAUAAUCUCAACCCCUUUUUCUUUUUGUUGAAGGGUUUUGGAUGUGGGGGGUUUGCUGGCCUUCUGAAAGAGGGUUCAGCUCCCCUGAAAUGCAUUAGCAGAAACGACCUUGCUCAUUGGUGUGAUAACUAUCAACGCUUAUGAAUGUGAGGGGCAGUUCAGCUUUCUAACCGUCUUUGGACAAUUCAUCAUUAAUGUGACCUCAAAUCAGGUAGGACUACCCGCUGAACUUAAGCAUAUCAAUAAGCGGAGGAAAAGAAACUAACAAGGAUUCCCCUAGUAACUGCGAGUGAAGCGGGAAAAGCUCAAAUUUAAAAUCUGGCGGUCUUUUGGCUGUCCGAGUUGUAAUCUAGAGAAGUGUUAUCCGCGCUG